GCCUUGACCAGGAAUUGAACCUUGACCACCUAGGUUAUAGUUCAAUGCUCAACCACUGAGCCACACUGGCCCAGCUGUAGGCAUUUCCUAUAAAAGCACCUCCCUGAACUGCUAGUCUCUUCCCCUGAUUGUUUUCCUUUCCCCCUUGAUAUUUUACAUUUAUUUAUAUAUCUAUUGAUGUCCUCUUCUCAAGAGUAUAGAAGCUCCCUAAGGUCUUUGUCAACCUCAUUGCUGCAGCCUGGCAUCUGGAACAGUUCCUGGGACUAGAGCAGGGCCUCAAUGGUUGAUGAAUGAAUGGAUUAUUCUAGAUCUUGGAGGUGGUGUGUCAUCUCUGAGUCCCCACUUGUCUCCCUGCCUGUGUGUGGUCACCAAGUCUUCAGUCUUCCUAGUGCUAGUUCAGUGAACAUUUAUUGUGCAAACUAUCUUACUGUGCUUAUUAUUGAGCUACUUACUUCCCACAGUGGCUGUAUCGAAUGAGGGAGUGAAUGUGACAAGACCGUUGUACACUCUCAAGCCCCACACCAAUGUCAUUUUUCUUCCAGUCCCACUGUGAUGACACUAACUAAUGUUCCUUUUGCUUCAAACAGGAGCCUCUAAAUGAUUCCCUGCUUCCAAGCUCUCCCCAGAUAAUAGAUUCCAAACGCUGCUGCCCACUUACUAGUAAUCUUCUAAAGCAUCGCUACAAUUAUGCUCUCCUACUCAAAACCUUGACUGCCUUUCAAUUCCUGACCACAUAGUGUACAAAUUCCCUGGCUUGGAACAAGAUCCUCCCCAACUUGGAUCCAGACUGCCUUUUCUUGUCUCCCUUUCUCCCCCACCAGAGCUCUCAACCUUAAAUCCAGACCUCAGAGCAAGUGAGCAUCACACUGCUGUCCUCCCUAGGUUUUUCCACUUCUAGGGGCUCUUCCUCUUCUCUCUUCUCUUAAUGGCAUUAAGGUCUUUCUCUUGAGGGGGUAUUCUUACCCCCAUCCUACCUUUCCUUAAAGGGGGAAGGGAGGAAGAAGAUGCAAGGAACACUUUAAUUGUCUCUCUCUCCUCUUUCCAUUCAGAUUGGGAAGGCAGGGAAAGUGUGAUCUCUGUUUGUCCAAGCUUCUCUGACUGCGUGUCCCUCCCUUUAAAACAGGCCGUGUAGUUCUGUCUCUGGGAUCUGCCUGCCAACAAUAAGCAUGUAUUCACCUUGGGAAGGCAGGGUUCCCAAGGCAGGCUUAGCUUGCCUGGCCGAGCCAGUAGUCAGGGGAGAUCGUGGGAAACCUACAUUUGCUCCAGGAUAAGCUAUGUUGUCCAAUCCAGCCUUUCUGCAUUUUAAGGCUGAGGUUCUGGUCUCCGUGCAUCUGACUCUAUAUUUUACCUCGUGCUGAACUCUGAAGAGAAGGAGCAAUUAAUUGCUACUCUCCCUUAAAUUCAAAUAUCACCCAGAUGACCCUUUUUACCAACUGCUCUACAAUAUCGAUUUUUAUAAUGUCUAUUCAGAUUUGUAAUCUACCAUCAUAAGCAUAUAGGAAGAAGAGGCACUGUUAUAUACUAUCCUUCUUCCUAAAUCCCUUUAGAACUCAGGUUCAUGGGUUAGUGUUCAUUUGCAUGGAGGCCAUAAUGGGCUAAUACAUUUGAUAGUAAGAAAAAAAAAGUAAAAAUAAAGUAGAUAUGAUGAGAAAUGGGAUGUUUCCCAUUUCUUAGAAUUUUGGCUGAAGCUCGGAAGCUAGUUACCACGUAGGACAAAUUCCCCACAAAUGAAGAGGGGGAUGUGGGGGGAGGGGGUUGCCUAGGGUAGCUGGCGUUUUCCAACAAGAAAAAGACAGUGUUGCUGUUUUACCAUCUGGGUGGGCUCUGUUGGUGCCCGCGAUCUGAAGCAGCUACGUAACUAGAGUAGAGAGAGAAUAUGUUUUGUUCUGCCGUUUACAUCUCACCCUAAACUCAUGAACAAGGGUUGGUUUUCUUGAAAGUAAUGGUAAGUCCAUGAACUGGGUCAAAGAGCAGACCUGGGAGCUGGGCGCGAGGAGAAGGGUGCUAGUUGUGUAUCACGGGUUUAUAAAAGGCGGUCUGUUUUCGGAAAUAUGCGCAAUUACAUCAGCCCUGGCUGUUGCUGCUCCUGAUAAUGCACCAUUAGUCAUCUUUCUUCCCACAAAUCCUCAUCACGUGAGCUCAAGAGAUUCAAUGCUGAAUUUCAAAUCCACUUCAGGGAUAUUUUCACAACUCGUGUGUUAGAAGCCUGGCAUCAUUUGAAUAAAAGUCACUUGUUUGAAGAUCAGUGGGAAAGUUGGGGAAUAAACAAGCUCCUGGUCAUUGAUUAUGUUUUAAAAGUGUUACCAAUGAAUUGAGCCUUAACGUUCCUUGUGUAACUCUUAAACUAUAUUGCUAUACUAGGUACCAUGAAAAUUCGAUGGACUCGGGAGUUUAGAGGUUGGAAAUUCUAGUUGGUGAGGGUAAAUGAUGAAGCUAUGGCAAAUGUUUAUGUCCCUUUCCAAGUGAAAGAAGUUUGAAAAGGCUGCAUAAGCUGAUGAACACAAAUGACGUCCACUAUCUACCUACUAAAGCUAAAGCACUUUUUAUACAAUGUAUUAGAGGCCUGAUGCACAAAAUUUGUGCAAGAGUAGGCCUUCCUUCCCCCGGCUGCCGGCACUGGCUUCCCUCUGGCACUGGGACCUGGGCUUCCCUCACAGCCCCAGCUUCGUCCAGAAGGUCGUCUGGAAGGAUGUCUGGUCUAAUUAAUAUUAUGCUUUUAUUAUUAUAGAUUAGCCAGGGUUCCCCAGAGAAAUAAAAACAACAGGAUGUCUCUAUUUCCAUGUCUAUCUAUUAUUUGUAUCUAUCUUGAAGUCUGUCUAUCUAUCAUCUAUCUAUCAUUUAUUGAUAUAUUUUAAAGAAUCGGCUUACACAAUUAUGGAGGCUUGGUGAGUCCAAAAUCUUCAGGGUAUACCAGCAGGCUGGAGACCAAGGGAAGGGUUGUAAUUCAAGUCCAAAGUCAGUCUGCUGGCUGGAUUCCUUCUUGCAUGGGUGGGGUCAGUCUUUUUCUAUUCAGGACUUCGACUGAUUGAAUGAGGCCCACCAACAUUAUGGAGGGCCAUCUACUUUACCCACUGUCCACCAAUUUAUGUUAAUCUCAUCCAAAAAGCACCUUUGCAGAAACAUCUAGAAUAAUGUUUGACCAAAUAUCUGGGCACUGUAGCCCAUAAAAUUGACACAUAAAAUUAACCAUCACAUAAGAUAAUGUGAAGAGCUAUUAAUUUUUGGUUGUUAUUUGUCUUUUUCAAGAGAAAGCUACCAAGAUGGCAAAAUUACUGCUAUUUGGGGAAUAGCCACAGAUUGAGAUGUUAAACUGGAAAGGAGAAGACUUAGGGACAUAUAAUACUACAAAGAUAUUGGCACCAUCCAGAGAUAUAUAAUGUGUGUAUAAGGUUAUAUUUCCUCUGCCUUUCAAAAUACUCCAAUGCCUGCAUGGGAAAGUCAGAGAGCACAACCAGGAUUCUCAGAGGAGACACAUUUUGACUCAAGACUGCACCAUCAGGAACUGUGACUUCUGACCACAGUGGGUCCUGAACCGACUCACUACUGCCCUCCUGUGGUUUCCUGGAUUUUACCCAAACCAGAUUCCCUGCUCUGUGUCAGCCCUAUCCUUUCCACCUUCUCCAGGUCCCGGCUCAGAUCACUAAGUGCCAAAUAAACUUCAAGAUCUGAUUUUGAGGAAGACUUCGUUAUUCCUGGUUGUUGGUAUCUACUGAAAUCUCUCUUUGCUUAGAGGUGAGUUUUCAUUUUGUUUAGCUAGCUGUUGAUGAAGAAAAGAUGUCUUAAAAAUUCCAACCCUUCUAUCCAUUAUUCUUUUAUCUCAAAAAUUUCUACUUAACAUAGAAGGUGUGAAUGUGUGGAGAAAAGGAUGCCUCUGAUAGAUCCACUGUCCUUUAAAGCUAAGCGGAAAUAGCCCUAAACUUCUUUCAAUGGUUUUGAAUCUUUGUGAGGCUGACAUUUGUUAUAAAUGUAGCUUUUCAGUUUUAUUUAUCUAGAAAUAUCAUUAUUUGUUAAUACAUGCUGCCACCUAGUGGAACAGCUGAAGGGCUGUAUCAGGGAUUCAGACUUGGCUUUGUACCUGAAUUUCGGUGUUAGGCUUCGUCCAAAUUAUGUAACACUAGAGGCCCGGUGCACGGAUUCUGCACAUUGAAAGUAAAUUAAUUAGAAGGUGACCAGCGGGGCAGGGCUGGGCCAGACAGGCCAGACACCCUAGAGCCAACCUCCUGCGGUCCCUCCCUGGCCUGCCACACUUGGGGAAGCGCUGGGGCUCUAAGGGUGUCUGUGGAGUGAGCAGGGUCCCUUCAGCAGGUGGGGUCCCUCGGCCUGGCCUGUGGGGAUUGGGCCGAAACCAGCAGUCUGACAUCCCCUGAGGGGUCCU